UACGUAGGCGGAAAAUUAAGUCAGUAGUGAAAUCCUGCAGCUUAACUGUAGAACUGUUAUUGAUACUGGUUUUCUUGAAUAUAGUUGAGGUAGGCGGAAUGUGUAAUGUAGCGGUGAAAUGCUUAGAUAUUACACAGAACACCGAUUGCGAAGGCAGCUUACUAAGCUAUGAUUGACGCUGAGUUACGAAAGCGUGGGGAGCGAACAGGAUUAGAUACCCUGGUAGUC
rnacentral:rRNA from 1 species